CCAAAUCAAAAAGAUAAUUGGCAACGAUCCCGGCGCAAAAGUUUUAAUAGCGGCUAAUACUCUCGACUUGGACCGAAAGUAAGUUAUCGAAAAACCGAAGUAAGUUAUCGAUUGAAGGCCAAACAAUGGCACCACCGUGUUGGAACUCACAAAAGAAAGAAAAAGUUAAAGGAAUACACUGGUGCAUACGAAAACGAAUGUCGUCUCUUACGUGAAAAUCGUAAUAUUUAUAUCGAAACACCAUCGCCGAGUAGUCUGAAUUACGAUUUGUAUCUAAGAUACCAACUGGAUAUUUUCCAAGCGGCAAGCGAAGUGAAGUACCGGCCAUGUGUGGCAAAACUCACAUUCGAUAAAUACGUGCAAACACAAAAAACGGCCCAUCAAAUUGCACGUGAAGUUACACAAAUGGAAAAGGAAAUACCGCGUGAGCAACAAACCAUCGUAUACGCUCAUGGAAAUGCGAAAAUUGCGGCCAAUUCACCAAUUAAAGGCCAUUUGCGUACACCCGAAGCAGCGAUUACGCACACAAUUGAUCGGUAUGCAAUGAGAAUUGAUAUCAAUGAGAGAGGUACAUCUAUGUAUUGCAGUAGGUGUCAACAGAUGACACAAAGACCAAUUGAUGUAAGAGUACGAAAAGGAUUUACGAGACAUAACAUUAAGGAUCGCUUCCUAGUUUGCCAAAACUGUGAAUCGGGCCGGAAUGCUGUUCUCCCAGUUCCACGCGAGUACACUGUGAAAACACAUCGUAGUUAUAGAAAGAAGAUUCCAGUAGUUGGCGCAAGACCAAAAACACGAACAUUUGAAACGCCAGCCGACAAUCCGAAUCGAAUUCGAAGCGUGGUUAUGGAUCGUGACCAUAACGCUUCACGCAAUAUGAUCUAUAAAGCCAAGUGUAUGUUGAGUGGAAUUCCAAUAAAUCCUGUUUUCAAUAUGAGUGCUGUAGCCUAUAGACAACAAAAUCCCGAUCGUGUGAUCCGUCCAAAUCGACCGAAUCAUGCGAAUCGUCGUAAUCAAGCAGCAUAAAGUUAAAGAAAUGUAUCUGCGGUCGUUCCCGGGGGGGUAGUGACCAGCAGACCCAGAAGUACUAUUCUAUAGUAUUCCUUAUCAAAAGAAAUGUACACACAAAAUACUCGUGAGACGCCACGUGUAUCAUGAUAAGGAAAUUCAUGACGCACCAUACAAGUAUAAGAGAUUAUGAAAUGAAAAGUCGGCAAUCGCCACAAAAAUUAAUUUCUGUAUGGUCACUGAAAUCUAUUGUGCUUGACAAGAAAACCGUCUCAAUUACCUUCUUAUUAAUACAUACUACAGUUAUAA